GCGGCAAAAGAUCACAAAGAGUCGGUCAUGCUAGAAACAUAUCGCUCAUUGGUGAUGCAAGACACAACCGGGAUGCCUGAAGAUGUGAGAUCUUAGCAUGUGUUGGCAUUGAAGUGUUUAAGGGAGAAGCUAUUUGGCAAAAUGGUCUAAGGAGUGAGCUGUGAUGUGGUGAUUGCGGCAGCUGUUACUUAUAGUGGUUGAAGGUUAUUGAUGCAAAUGAGUGGUUGCUCCUUUCCAGCGAAGUACCCUCCAUGCUUUAUGACUUUUGUCAUCAUCCAGAUCAAAAC